rnacentral:tRNA from 1 species
UUAACAAAGUAAGCUAAUUUUAAGCUAUUGGGUUCAUACCCCAAAUAUGAUUUAAAUAAUCCUUUGUUA